UCCACAAAGUCAACUAGUUUCUUGGCUAAAUCACUUUUGCUGAUUUUAUUGCCGUUUGGUCUUUUGCCGAAAAUAUGAUUUAACUAAAUUAUUACCUGGAGCACACCUUAAAGUAAUACAAAAGGCACCAGAAACCACCAGCCGGCAACAACAAUAAAGGAAAUGCUUAAUUC